GACGCCCCCCGGGCGAGCGGCGGGCCCCAAGGACCGCGGCCUGGACGCGCCGGGGCUCCUGGCGCUGGCGUGGCGGCCUCCGGGCGCCUCCUCACCUUCUCUUCCACGCAGUUGACAAUGAUGGACGGGUACUUGCGGCUGAGCCAGCGAAAGAAAGCCGGGACUCCCAUAGCGGCGGCGCAGCUGUAGGCGGCUGCCCGGCCCGCGGACGGACGUAACCAGAGAGACAGGCAGCAGCGGGCCACAGGCACUGGCACUUCCUCCCACGUGCACCCGGCGACAGGAAGUGAGAGUCACUCAAGAAACUUGAAUAAGAACUAAGACAUAGAAUUGGGUGCUGUGUGGUGCAGAGAUGAGGCGUGAUUUGACUUCUGGCUGCACGAUGUGGGAGUUAGUCCAGCGCCAUGGGAGAGCGCCUUAAAUUAGUGCUCUCAGAAAGAUAACAGAGGCUUCAUCUAGCGGGCAUGACGGAUCACUGACUGCAUUUCCAGACCUUAUCUCCUCCCCUGAAAUCAGAGGGUGGGACUGAAAGUUCCAAUCCUCUAAUCAAGGUCUCACUCUUUCUAAGCACCCCCUCCAGAAUGAUUCAUCUCUACCCAAAAAAGAUGCAGUGAAGACAGCAUGAUGGAGCCAGAGGUUCCCACAAGGGAAAUGCACAGCUUGGAAUUACUAUCCAGAGAAGUCAAUGAGCCACCAAGAAAUAAAAUAAGAGCUGAGAGGAGACCCACGAAGAAGCCAAUAUACCAAGUAGUGAGCACGCUGGGUGUUUAUGGGCGAGCAGAAAUGAAAAUGUUAUAUGUGGAAGCUCUUACUCACCUGGACUAGUUUAGAAUAGUGGUCACCACAAAUUAGCAAUGGCUCUCAUUGAAACCUACAACCUGUGAAGGAGGUGGACCAGGAGAGGAGCAAAGAGUGGCCCAGGUAAUAACCACAGCAGGACUUCUAGUCACCAUCUUCUUCUCCAGUGAAAUGCCUUUCGAGAAUUCUUCAUGAAAUGAAAACCAGGAGCCUUGGUGGCUCCUGGAGUUAAAAAAAACAUUAUAAGAGAAAUUUUGGGAGCACAAAUGGUGAAAUUAGAAUAGGGACUAUAUAUUGGAGGGCAUUACAGAAUUAAUGCUAGUUGUCUUAACUAUGAUAAUAGUACUGUGAUUAGGUAGGAUAUGGCCUUAUUGUUCAGAGAUGCAGGCUGGAGGAUUAGAUCAUCAGGGAAGAAGAGGGGACCACAGGGGAAGGGAGAAUGAAGGUAAUGAGAAGCCCCAACUGGGCUGCUCACGACCUCACUCAGCCAGACAGGUAACAUGCGGUUUGGAGUAUCUAUCGCUGCACAAAUCCACCAGCCCCAAACACAGAGGCUUAAAACAAUUGCUUAUUUGCUCCCAACGUGGACUUUGGGCAGGCAGCUCAUCUUGGUUUCAUGCAGACUCACCAGCUCUGGUGCUCACAAGGCUGGAGGCUGAACAGAACAACUUGCUGUUGGCUGGGUUCCUCAGUUCUCGUCCACGUGUCCUGCCCACAAGGCCAGCGUGGGCUCCCUCACAGCUCAGUGUGGGCUCAGAGCAGCCAGACUUCUGACACGGGCCCUGGCUUCCCUCAAAGUGCCAAAGCGGAAGCUGCCAGACCUUCCUAGGCUUGAGGCCUGGAACUGGCACCGUGUGGAUUCCGCCUCAGGUCACAGGGCCAGGCCAGAUUCAAAAGACUUAACUACCAGGGGGAGAGGGUCACUGGGGGCCACUAGAUGGACAGUUCACCACACACAGGGAUGUGGGCCUGUGGCCAGCGGCAAUUUCCUACAGGCCAGCCAGCAACCACAGGAACAGGGCACGUGAGAGAUGGCUGUGUUUCAAACACCUUCGGCUCCUUGAUUACACCAGGGCUGUUGACGCGCAGAGAUCAAACUGCUCCAUGAAAAAAAGGGUAAACAAGGGUUUCCUCGUGCAGCACCUCCCCAAGAAUUUCAGAAGCUCAUAUGCGUGGGAGGCUUAACAUAAAGUGUUCCCUGAACCUAUCUGACCAUGGUGCACACUUAAAAAAAAAAAAGACUAUCAUUUGGUACAUUAGGACUGUAAUGACUCCAAUUUAGUUGUUUUUUUCUUUUAAUUUAAUAACACUUUAAAAAAUUGUGGUAAAAUACACAUAACAGAAAAUGUACCAUCUUCACCAUUUUUAGGGGUGUUAAGUACAUUCAUAUUGCAGUGUAACCAUCACCACUGUCCCAUCUCCAGAACUCUUCAUCUUGCAAAUCUAAAACAUUAAACACUAACUUCCCUUUUCCCUCUCCUCCCAACCUCCCGGGAGCCACCAUUCUACUUUCCAUCUCUAUGAAUUUGACUACUCUAGGGAACUCAUAUGAGUGAAAUCAUACAGCAUCUGUCUUUUUGUGACCAGCUUAUGUAUAGCUGCCCCUGCUCUCUUUUGAUUGCUCUCUGCGUGGAGUACCUUUUUCCAUCCUAUCACUUUCAACCCGUUUGUGUCUUUAAAUCUAAACCGAGUCUCUUGUACACAGCAUAUAGUCGGAUCAUGUUUCUUAAAAUCCAUCCUGCUGAUCUCUGUCUUUUGAUUGUAGAGUUAAAUUUGUUUACAUUUAAA